rnacentral:rRNA from 1 species
UACGUAGGGUGCAAGCGUUGUCCGGAAUUAUUGGGCGUAAAGAGCUCGUAGGCGGUCUGUCACGUCGGCUGUGAAAACCCGGGGCUCAACCCCGGGCCUGCAGUCGAUACGGGCAGACUAGAGUGCGGUAGGGGAGACUGGAAUUCCUGGUGUAGCGGUGAAAUGCGCAGAUAUCGGGAGGAACACCGGUGGCGAAGGCGGUUCUCUGGGCCUUACCUGACGCUGAGGAGCGAAAGCGUGGGGAGCGAACAGG